GCCAGCCAGCGUGAGACAUCUGGGAUACAUUGGGCUUGUGAGACAGGAGAGAAGGGGCAGCUGGAAGCUAUCAGAACCCAGGAGAUCAGCAGAUCUGUUCAGUGUGUAUGAGAUCUGACCUGUCCUGAGCUCUGAGUUCAUCCACUGCCCAUACAAGACUGAUGUGAAGGACAUGUGAUCAGGUGACCAGUGCUGCUGGCUGUGAGGUCUGCUACGCUUUAAUAGCAAGCAGCUGGAGUACACCCAGAAUGCAGGACUCAGAAGACAGACGUAAAACUC